UUAACAUGCAGUCGAACGGCAGCGCGGGAGCAAUCCUGGCGGCGAGUGGCGAACGGGUGAGUAAUACAUCGGAACGUGUCCUGUAGUGGGGGAUAGCCCGGCGAAAGCCGGAUUAAUACCGCAUACGCUCUACGGAGGAAAGGGGGGGAUCUUAGGACCUCUCGCUACAGGGGCGGCCGAUGGCGGAUUAGCUAGUUGGUGGGGUAAAGGCCUACCAAGGCGACGAUCCGUAGCUGGUCUGAGAGGACGACCAGCCACACUGGGACUGAGACACGGCCCAGACUCCUACGGGAGGCAGCAGUGGGGAAUUUUGGACAAUGGGGGCAACCCUGAUCCAGCAAUGCCGCGUGUGUGAAGAAGGCCUUCGGGUUGUAAAGCACUUUUGUCCGGAAAGAAAUCAUCCUGGUUAAUACCUGGGGUGGAUGACGGUACCGGAAGAAUAAGCACCGG
rnacentral:rRNA from 5 species